AGAGUUUGAUCCUGGCUCAGGAUGAACGCUAGCGACAGGCUUAACACAUGCAAGUCGAGGGGCAGCGGGGGCGAAGCUUGCUUCGCCUGCCGGCGACCGGCGCACGGGUGAGUAACACGUAUGCAACCUGCCCGCCACAGAGGGAUAAUCGGGAGAAAUCCCGUCUAAUACCGCAUGACGCCCUAUAGGGACAUCCCUUUGGGGCCAAAGGAGCGAUCCGGUGGCGGAUGGGCAUGCGUCGCAUUAGGUAGUCGGUGGGGUAACGGCCCACCGAGCCGACGAUGCGUAGGGGUUCUGAGAGGAAGGUCCCCCACACUGGUACUGAGACACGGACCAGACUCCUACGGGAGGCAGCAGUGAGGAAUAUUGGUCAAUGGCCGAGAGGCUGAACCAGCCAAGCCGCGUGAGGGAAGAAGGCCCUACGGGUCGUAAACCUCUUUUGUCAGGGAACAAAAACCGGUACGUGUACCGGGUUGAGUGUACCUGAAGAAAAAGCAUCGGCUAACUCCGUGCCAGCAGCCGCGGUAAUACGGAGGAUGCGAGCGUUAUCCGGAUUUAUUGGGUUUAAAGGGUGCGUAGGCGGACUUUUAAGUCAGCGGUGAAAGCCCGGGGGCUCAACCCCGGCGAGCCGUUGAAACUGGAGGUCUUGAGUUGGAGAGAGGUAAGCGGAAUGCGCAGUGUAGCGGUGAAAUGCUUAGAUAUUGCGCAGAACUCCGAUUGCGAAGGCAGCUUACUGGCUCCAUACUGACGCUGAGGCACGAAAGCGUGGGUAUCGAACAGGAUUAGAUACCCUGGUAGUCCACGCAGUAAACGAUGAAUGCUGGUUGUCCGGAGGGAUUGACCUCUGGGCGGCGAAGCGAAAGCGAUAAGCAUUCCACCUGGGGAGUACGCCGGCAACGGUGAAACUCAAAGGAAUUGACGGGGGCCCGCACGAGCGGAGGAACAUGUGGUUUAAUUCGAUGAUACGCGAGGAACCUUACCCGGGCUCAAACGGCACAGGCCAGUCGCAGAGACGCGAUCUUCCUACGGGACCUGUGCCGAGGUGCUGCAUGGUUGUCGUCAGCUCGUGCCGUGAGGUGUCGGCUUAAGUGCCAUAACGAGCGCAACCCCUGCCGGUAGUUGCUAACGGUUCAGCCGAGGACUCUGCCGGGACUGCCAGCGCAAGCUGUGAGGAAGGCGGGGAUGACGUCAAAUCAGCACGGCCCUUACGUCCGGGGCGACACACGUGUUACAAUGGGUGGUACAGCGGGAAGCCAUGUGGCGACACAGAGCAGAACCCGAAAGCCACUCUCAGUUCGGAUCGGAGUCUGCAACCCGACUCCGUGAAGCUGGAUUCGCUAGUAAUCGCGCAUCAGCCAUGGCGCGGUGAAUACGUUCCCGGGCCUUGUACACACCGCCCGUCA
rnacentral:rRNA from 1 species